GCUUAACGCGAAGAACCUUACCAGGCCUUGACAUGCAGAGAACUUUCCAGAGAUGGAUUGGUGCCUUCGGGAACUCUGACACAGGUGCUGCAUGGCUAUCGUCAGCUCGUGUCGUGAGAUGUUGGGUUAAGUCCCGUAACGAGCGCAACCCUUGUCCUUAGUUACCAGCACGUUAUGGUGGGCACUCUAAGGAGACUGCCGGUGACAAACCGAAGGAAGGUGGGGAUGACGUCAAGUCAUCAUGGCCCUUACGGCCUGGGCUACACACGUGCUACAAUGGUCGGUACAGAGGGUUGCCAAGCCGCGAGGUGGAGCUAAUCUCACAAAACCGAUCGUAGUCCGGAUCGCAGUCUGCAACUCGACUGCGUGAAGUCGGAAUCGCUAGUAAUCGCGAAUCAGAAUGUCGCGGUGAAUACGUUCCCGGGU
rnacentral:rRNA from 1 species